CACGGAGGGUGCAAGCGUUAUUCGGAAUUAUUGGGCGUAAAGGGUGCGUAGGUGGCGGGGUAAGUUCGGUGUGAAAUCUUCGAGCUCAACUCGAAAACGGCAUUGAAAACUACCUUGCUUGAGGGUCGGAGGGGAGACUGGAAUUCUCGGUGUAGCAGUGAAAUGCGUAGAUAUCGAGAGGAACACCAGUGGCGAAGGCGAGUCUCUGGACGACUCCUGACACUGAGGCACGAAAGCUAGGGGAGCAAACAGGAUUAGA
rnacentral:rRNA from 1 species